CCGGCGGCCGCCCCGGCCCGUCGCCUGCCGCCGCCGCCUGCGUCUCGGCCGGCCGGGCCCGGGGCGGCCAGAGCCCGUGAGCCGGCUCCCCUCCCCCCGCGGUGCCAGCCACUGGCCCCGCCGGUGCCCCCACCCUGUGCCAUGGCCGGCGGGGGUUCCUGGGGAUGGGAUUUGCUGCCUGUCACAAAUCACAUUGCCAGGGAUUUCCAACCGACCCUGGGCCCUGCCUCGGGGCCACCGUCGCUGCCACCACCGAGAUGCUGCCAGGGGAAGGGGUGGCAGGGAGGCUUCUGCCUGCGCCUGGCCUGAGGAGCAGGGCUUAGCUGCUUGUGAGCAGGGUCCACACCAAGUCGUGUUCACAGUGGCUAAGUUCCGCCCCCCGGGCCCCCGCCUCCUUCAGCCCUGCCGCCCUCCCCUCAGCUCCUGGGCCUCCCCGGGCUCCCCUGGGCUCUGCCUCCCGUGCCUACUGAGCUGAAACACAGUUGAUUUGUGCAGACUGGCUCAGUUCAGCAGGAACAGGAGUCUCGCCCUCUCGGAGCCCAUGGCCCCACCGUCCUUGGGUGGGCCGAUGCCUGGGGGAGAGACUUGGACCCAGACCUGUGUCCAGAGGAGGGACAUGGGGAGGGAUGGGGCCUGGCUGGGCCCAGCUGUCUGCUGCAGGUCCCCUCCCCCAAGUCUGCACUUGAGGACCCCCCACGUGGUCUCACAUUGGGCUGGGCUGUGCUGUGCUCCCAGGCAGCCCUUCUGUGAAGAAGGGAAGCCAGCUGUGUCCCCAGCCUGGACAACCCCUGGGCUUGAAGCUUCAGCCCCGCCUUCCCCUAGCCUGGCAAGGGCAUGGGCCAGACUGGGCCUGCACCUCCCACCACCAGUUACCCAAGAGGAAGCUGUGUUGGGCCCCCAGACCGUUAAAUGCCAGCUCCAGGUUUCCGGAACCAGGCUGGUCUGAUCUAAGCAUGCCUGGCCCCUUCUCCCUGAGCCCUGCAGCUUCCUAACUUGGGGGAAGGGGCGAUGACCCCCUCUUCUGGCACUUGGGGCAGGAACAAGGCUCCUGUGGUCAGAGAAAGGACAUGAACCACUCUGCCCUCAGAUGAUCCCAGGGCAUGGAAACAAGUUGAGACUGCCCAUGAUUCCGAGAUGAGAUGGGGUGGGGCUGUGGAGGCAGAGUGUGCCCCCUCCCGCGCCACCCUCCGCUAAUGCGGCUGAUGCCCCCUGCCCUCCAGGCUGUCAGGGCUGGGCGGGUGGCCCCUUCCCCAGCAGGUAUGGACAGACAGAAGCGUGGGGAGGAGGGAGGGGCAGUUUGUGCUGUGUGUUGCCUGCUGUCCAAUAAAAGUUGCCCCAGCUUCAUUCUUGAGGGCAGGUCUCGUUUUGUGGUUCAUUCCAUCCGUUCCCAGGGAGUUAUGGCUUUUUGGGUGGGGAGGGUGGAUCAGCUGGCACCUGGGGCACCCGGCCCCACAGGAUCCCCAUCACCCUGCCUGCUCUGGGAAAGGGGGAAAUUUAGUUACCUGGACCGAAGAGUGCCCUGGGCUUGGAAGGGUAUCCUUGAGGGGCAUCCUGGGGUUGGGAGGUGACCCUGAGGGAAAUCCUGGACCCGAGGGACUGACAUUCAGGACCAGUGAGGCCUGAGAGAGGGUAAUACGGAGAAAGCUGUUCCGAGGUAACAAUGAGCCCCAUGCCUCGGGACCGAUGGAACCUGAGCAAGAACGUUGAAGGGGGGUCCCACCUGAGUCGGUAGUGGGGGUGACCCUGAGGGAAACCUGGGCCUCAGAGGUGACACUCGGGGAUAACCAGAAGGGUGGCCCGUGAUGGAGUUAAUGACCUUUGGGGUCGACUGGGACCUAAGGGAUAACUUUGAGAAGGCCUAAGGAGAACGCUGGAGGGGAACAAGAGCUUGAGGGGUAUGUAUGACAUUAGGGAAACCCCAGGCCCAAGGAGGGACAUUUGGA